ensembl:lncRNA
CAGCCACCUGGCUUGAAACUGGCCUGGCUUUGCUGUUUUCCUUUGGCAGCUCCCAAGACCCGAUGGUAGGAGUCCUAGGCAGCUGGGACCUACCAGGCCAUCCUGAAGCCCCCAGCUCACUACCCAGGGACCCCUGUUCCUAUCUGAGAGGACCACCUCUGCUUGAAGCUGGAAUCUGAUGCUUCUUGGUGCCAAUAACUGAAACCAGGGUUUCGUACCAGUAGCUUAGACCACUUGCUAUCUAGUGGAGAAUGGCCUUGAACUUCUGAUCCAACUGCCUACAUCUCCUGAUAACAGAUGCGAACUCAGGAGCAUACCUGGUGGGUCCUGGGGGAAGCCCUGGCCCCUGUCCGACAUCUUCCUCCUGGUCCUAUGGGGUCACGCACGGUGGGUAACCUCCUCAUCCUUGAACUUCCUGCUGCCACUCUGGCACCCAAGACCCUGGGAGGGCUGCCGGCUAGUUAAUCCCUUAAUACUGGUCACAAUGAGAUUUCAGGGAGGGUGGGAGGUGGUCACCAUGGAGACUGAAGACCUUUCCAGGACCCAUGGGAGUAAUCAGGCCUCAACGAGGGGCCUCAAGUCCCAACCUAGAUAGAAGUGAGAGGCACAGAGGCUGCCCUUGGGGACCUGCUAAGACCUCCCACGGUCUCUUCAUGUUCUUCUGCUAACCUGAGAGCCUGCACAUUUGUCCAGAGUCGGGCUCCCCUCUGAGUCCCAGGCUCCUUGUCCUCCUUUUGGGGCUCUGGCCCCCAGCACAGUAGCUUUUCUAGAAGAGUACAGGCCCCCUUCUGAGUCUGCUAGACUUGAGCUUGAAGUUACACUUUCACUUCCCAGUCUGUCCUGGGAAGGCCAGGCCCCUCACCUUCCAGGCCUCAGUUUCCCCAUGUGUAAGAUGAGUAUAGUAAAGCCACCCUGGCAUCACUUGGGAGUCUGUUGGUGAGUAGUGACACCCAGUGACAUUCUGUCUGCAGCCACCUGCAGAACCCCAGGGCCCUGCCCUGCUUUGUGACGGGGGUGGGGGUCCCACCUCUCUUCACCUUUGCACUCUCCAUGUCUCAACUUGGUCAUCUUUCUCCAGAAAAGUCCUGAUGACCUGGGUGGCCUUGGGGAUUCCUCCUAUGUCCCUUCACAGUCCCCAAGGUUUUACGUUGUAUUUACCAUAGUCUAAUCAGAUGGCGAUUGCCUCCUGCUUUGGACUGUCUGCUUACCAUUGUUUCUCAGGGACCCAAUGGUGAUUAGAAUAAAUGGAUUGGCUGAAUAAAUGAGGGAAGAAUUGAAGGAAUUCGCUCGUCUGUCCGAGCAUUGAGCUUUAGCAGCAUCAUUAUUGUGGAGGCUGGAGAGGAGCAAGGAAGACAGCAGGCGAAAGCCUUCCAGUACAGGAUUGCAAUUAGCAAUGAAAAGAAAAACAUCCAGUGACAUUGGAACUUCAUAUAAGCAACAUAUACUUUGUAGAAUAAUUAUAUCCUAAACAAUGCAUUAGAAAUGUUUAUACUUUUAAAAAAAAAAAGGGGGGGUGGAGCCUAUGAGAUGGCUCAGCAGGUAAAGGCAUGGACUCCCAAGCCUGACUGUUAGAAGGUAAGAAACCAUCCCUGCAGGUUGCCUCUGACCUUUCCAGGAGCAGGACACCCAGUGACCAUCUACCCACGCUCACACACACAACAAAUAAAAAUAAAAAAUAUAACUGAAAGUUUAAGGAAGGGCAUGGGUUAUCUCAAGUCCAAACAGAACUGAGAACCCGGGGCUUUGUCCGGCAACCCCGCUGUCCGCCUGGCCUGCUUGCAUUUCGGUGGGAAGGUGGGGUGGGAACAGGCAGUAAAGGAAGUAAACAUAAAGGAAGUGAAUUUUAAAUAGUGAGCUACUGCCUGAGAACAGGGAAGCUGAGCGAGAUGACAGCGCCUGGUGGCCAGGUGACCCGGGACUCUGGAUAUGGGGAGCUAAGCCAGUGGCCCUCUCCUGCCUGGAGACAAUCUUACACCUGAGAAGUUAGGAAAAGCUUAAAGCAGUGAUCCAGGCUGUUACUCAUGAGCAGCUAUUCUCAACCUUUGGGUUGAGACCCCUCUGGGUCUGAACAACCCUUUCACGGGGGUCGCCUAAGACCUUGGGAAAACACAGAUAUUUACAUUUCGAUUCAUAACAGCAGCAAAAUUACAGUUAUGAAAAAGCAACGAAAAUAAUUUUAUCAUUGGCGAGUCACCACAACAUGAAGAACUGUAUUAAAGGGUCGCAGGGUUAGAAAGCUUGAGAACCACUGCUCAGGAAGGACAGGCAGGGGGCUACUGGCUGCUGAGUCACUUGCCAGUCUGCAGUUUUGCACCUUGGAUCUCGGCUUUCGCAAUCCCCUGCAAAGCCACGGUCCCACCCCCCUGGGUCAGCCAAUGUCCUUGGCGAGGCUGAGAGCCAGAGGAAAAGGGCCAAAGGAACUGCGCAGAGAAGCGUGGCCACCUAACAGAGCUCAGCGUUCCGACACCCUCUUCUAGCCCAACUUGUCUAGCGAUUGCAGCAGGGUGCUGCAGAAUCUGCUCUGCAAAUCUGCCUGACUUGGUUCAGCACCGCGAUUUGGCCUUCUAGGGCUCCUCCUAGUGGCCAAUGUGGGUACUGGCGCUCAGAGACGCUGCAGUCACAUACGUUUCUCAGAGGCCUCACUGUACUCCAAUCACAGUCCCUGACCACUGCGCCAGUCAUAAUGGGCACCUUUGAGGAAGUCCCCAGGCUUUGUGCCGGCUUCAUUUGCAUUCAUUCUCAUUUAUAAUGGUAUUCAUAACAUUAAGUGCCACUCUCCCAUCAUAAAAGUUAACAUGGAGGCUGGAGAGAUGGCUUAGUGUUGACUAGUGCUGACUGUCCUGGCAGAGGACCCUAGUUGGGUUCCUAGCACCCAUGUGGCAGUUCACAACCUUCUAUUGAAGGGACAGCUCCCCAUUUCUGCAGCCAUAACAGUAACACGUGCUUGCCAUGACCUUGUCCUAGUCACUAGAAGUCAGAUGCCUGCCUCCUGGCAAGGAACCAAUCAGAAGUUAGCUGGUGGUGCUAUGCUUUACGGCUCUGGGUGUGCUUUACAGACAAGUGCACAGCAAUGAUGUGCAGAGCAUAGAAACCACCCUGGGAGGGCCUAUGGGCCAUAACAACCAAUUGGCCAAUCAACACAGGGCAAGCCCUCCAAGCCUGGAGGCACACCAAUCCUGAGCCUGUGCGUACCCCUAGACACUCCCCUUACACUGCCCAACAAGAUCUCUGUGCAGCCCCUUCGAGCUGUCUUUGCUAGCCAUCCGCCAUGGCAGGUACGUGAAAGACCCGAGCUAACAUGGGGUUAGCUCGUUAAACAACAAUAAAGCCUCAUGCUUUUUGCAUCAAGCUUUCGAAUCUGCCUGCUGAUUGGGGUGACCGAGGUCCGGGGCUGAGAUCCUGGAGGCCUGAGUUUUCCGGGGGUCUAACACUAUACCUUCAUUUCCAUGGGAUCCAAUACCCUUCUGGCUUCCAUGGCUCCUGCACACACGGUACACAUAAACUCACACAAACAUACACAUACACCACACAUGUGUAUGCUAAUAAUAAAAUGAAGAUAAAUAAAAGUUAACACGAGGAUAUGAGUGAAAAAUCACACCUAAUUGUUAUCGAGGAUCAUAUUAAACACACUGGAAGCUUUGUGGGAUGGCUUCCUCCAUUCCGAGGUUCUUAACAUCAUCAUCGACACCGUCAUCACAACAUGUCAUACGUACCCCCACCCCCGAAUCAGUUCCUAUCUUUGUGCUUUGUGUCCUCCUGUCCUUCUAGAUCAUCAAAAAACAAAACAAAAAACAAACAACCCAGUCCAUGCCACCUCCACAGUAGCUAGAAUUUUCCUUAUUUUUUUUUUUUUUUCUGCUCCACUGCAGUCAACUUUGGCACAAUCACCAUGCUUUCUGGAAGCCAGCAUAAGUCUUUAUACAAACUCUUCCUUGCCC